ensembl:lncRNA
CGGCCGGGUCGGGCCGGUGCGGGCGCCAUGGAGUACGUGACGGCCGAGCAGCUGGCCGGCUUCAGCAAGUAUAAGCUGGAAAGAGGUGGGACCAGCCAAAAAGGGGAUGCACAGCCAGAAGCAUACCUGUGCUACAGGAGUCCCUCUGUUCCUGUUGCUGCUUUGGCCAGCAUGUUAUAGAUUUGGAGAAAAGCCUGGAGGAGGCAACAAGGGAAGGAGCUGCUCUCCCAGCAGUGGUGGUUGGUUUUCCUUGAGCAGAAGCACUUUCUGCAAGGUUGCUUCCUCCAGCUCUUGCUCCUCCCGUGGCUGCCAGGAGUGCAGAUGCAGGAGGUUGUACUGUUUGGGUACGCACCUUUGGAUAUAACUUAAGCCAUGGGACAGAAAGGUUUCUCUGCUGUACCAAAUUCACCCCCUUGCCUGACAGUGCUGAGGCUUCCCCAGGAGAUGCUGCUCACAGUGGUCAGAAAGCCAAACAGAUCCUAAGUGAGUCUGCCCCAACAUUACCUCCUGCUCAUCAGGUUGGUGCAGAGGACUGAUAGCUCUGGCAGAUCGGAGGGCUUGUUAUCAGAAAUAAAGCUUGUUUUAAGGCUGCAGAGCAAUGCAUGCCUUGACCUUCCUGUCUGAAUGCUGAAUGCCUUUGGCCAAAACCAG